rnacentral:rRNA from 1 species
AAUUUUCCCCAAUGGGCGCCAGCCUGAGGGAGCAACGCCGCGUUGGGGAGGACGCGUUUCGGCGUGUAAACCCCUUUUCCGAGGGACGAAGCAAGUGCCGGUAACUCGGGAAUACGGCCUGGCCAACUACGUGCCAGCAGCUGCGGUAAAACGAAGGGGCCAAGCGUUGUCCGGAGUUACUGGGCGUAAAGGGCGCGCAGGCGGUUGGUUACGUCGUGUGUGAAAGCCCCCGGCUCAACCGGGGAGGGUCGCGCGAAACGGGCCGACUGGAGGCAAGGCGAGGGCGGUGGAAUUCCCGGUGUAGUGGUGAAAUGCGUAGAGAUCGGGAGGAACACCAGAGGCGAAGGCGGCCGCCUGGACUUGACCUGACGCUGAGGCGCGAAGGCGUGGGGAGCGAACGGG